GACGUAGGGCGCGAGCGUUGUCCGGAUUUAUUGGGCGUAAAGGGCGCGUAGGCGGCUCUGCACGUUCGUUGUGAAAUCGCCCGGCUCAACUGGGCGGGGUCAGCGGAUACGGCAGAGCUUGAGCAAGCUAGGGGGCAAUGGAAUUCCCGGUGUAGUGGUGGAAUGCGUAGAUAUCAGGAGGAACACCCAUAGCGAAGGCAGCUUGCUGGGACGUUACUGACGCUAAGGCGCGAAAGCGUGGGGAGCGAACAGG
rnacentral:rRNA from 1 species